GGUUUUGACUAUGUUCGUGGCAACAGAAUGCACAGUAUUGUACCGUACUUCACUGGAUACUCUGCAAACAAUUCUAAGUAGUUGCAUGUAGUUCUAAAGUCGUAAAGAGCCUUUCACCGGCACAGUUUAAAGUGCCCUUUGUAGUUUUCACUGUUCAAGCGUACUCGUGUGCAUCCGACUAGCACAACAUUGUGACUUGGUCAUCCCUCUUCUAGUACUGGCAUCAUCUCUCACAGCUCAUGCACCUAAGGCUAGGGUACCGGGUUACCAUGCAUUCACGCUGUUGCUUUCUUUGGACUGGUGGCUACUGACCAACUGCGACGCAGAACUCGUUUGAAAAUCGUAAGACUGUGCGUGCUUGCAGCUGUUGUAAAUUAUUCAUGUACAUGUAGAUGGUUGAACACUGUUCAAAACCGUAGAUUCCAUUUUCAAUCCAAUUAAAUGUUGAGGAGUGAGCACGAUAUCAGUUUGAUACUAGUGCGUCGUUAGACUCAAAGAGCAAAGAUGUGCUGCUUGACAUGCCUGUAGAAUACGAGUUAGCCUAAUCGCCUAAUCGUCACCAAAACACUAUAGGUCGGUAGACGAAACCUUGCUGCUUGUUGGAACUUUCCGCCGUUUGCAACAAAGCUGUUGAAGAAUAUGGAAGUCAGAUGCACACUCUCUCAGCUCGCGCGCGCACUCAUCAUCGCCAUGGUUGCCAUAGGAACGUGGAAGCUGCCAGGAACCAGUAGCAAGCCUCUCCAUACGGGAGGAAGCUCAGGUCUUGUUGGAUCACUGUCCGAUCAGUCACGUGCGUUCCUGCUUGAAAUACAUGGCUUGACGAGGAAGUAUCUGGAUACUGAGAUUCUUCUCAAGGAUCACCUUAGCAACAACGAAGUGCAGAUGGAACCAGCUGCCUACCACGGACACGGUCUGAACGCGGAUGCCAUACAUGGAGUCGUAGGGCCACAACGCGAGGGUUCCUUUGACCUUGACAAAAUUGGUGACAGCGCUGGAAGGAUUCGGAUGCUAGAGUCAGCCACCGCACCAGUGCAUACAGUAGAAGGCCUGCAUGCUGGCUACCCCAAUGCUGCUGCUGCUAUCAAAGAAUACAACAAGGAGCUAGCUCGAACUGGUGUGAGCAGUAGCACUGAAGAGGACGAGCAGCUCAGGUAAACAAGGUGCAAUGUACGUGGAGGAACGAAAUUCGAAUUUGGAUGUAAUUUGAAACACAUGAACCGAUUCAGCACGACUGAUAAGUUUCCAUUUAUUCUUGAAGAAUCCGGCAUUAUUGAUCAAUAAAUGAAAGACGGAAUCACAAUGACCACAUUGAUUUUUUUCUUUUCUCAGUACAACAUACAUGUACAUGUACACGCAGCUAACGUGUUAGCUGAUGCUCUGGUCUUGUACAUCAGUACAGUCAUAUCCUUCAGAUUUUCUAACUGCACCAUUGGUUGAUGUGACAUCGUUCUCGUACAAUCAAGCUCUUGCGUGAUGCUCUGGUUUAGAACAGCAGAAUAGUAUUAUA